rnacentral:rRNA from 1 species
UNUAUUUGAAGUUGUAAAUAGUCAAGCCUGCUCACUGACUUUAGAGUUAAAGAGCCGCGGUACUUUGACCGUGCGAAGGUAGCAUAAUCAUUAGUUUUUUAAUUGAAAGCUGGAAUGAAAGGUUAGACAAAAAGAAAUCUGUCUCAAAGAUAAUCANGGAAUUUGAUCUUUAAGUGAAAAAGCUUAAAUCACCUGGAAAGACGAUAAGACCCUAUAAAGCUUUAUAUAACAAGAUAUNUAAAAUGAAUUAAGUUUCGAUAAUAUUAUAGUCUUCUUUUAUAUUUUAUUGGGGCGAUAUAAGUAUAAUUUGAAUUAACUGCUUAGUUAUUAUACACAGAUAAGUGUUUAAAUUCGAUGAUCCUUAGCUUAAGAUUUAAAGAACAAGUUACUUUAGGGAUAACAGCGUAAUUUUUUCCAAGAGUUCGUAUCGAAGAAAAAGAUUGCGACCUCGAUGUUGAAUUAAAAGGUCUAUAUGGCGCAG